UGGGGAAUAUUGCACAAUGGGCGCAAGCCUGAUGCAGCCAUGCCGCGUGUGUGAAGAAGGCCUUCGGGUUGUAAAGCACUUUCAGCGAGGAGGAAGGUGUGAGCUUAAUACGCUCAUCAAUUGACGUUACUCGCAGAAGAAGCACCGGCUAACUCCGUGCCAGCAGCCGCGGUAAUACGGAGGGUGCAAGCGUUAAUCGGAAUUACUGGGCGUAAAGCGCACGCAGGCGGUUUGUUAAGUCAGAUGUGAAAUCCCCGGGCUCAACCUGGGAACUGCAUUUGAAACUGGCAAGCUAGAUCUCGUAGAGGGGGGUAGAAUUCCAGGUGUAGCGGUGAAAUGCGUAGAGAUCUGGAGGAAUACCGGUGGCGAAGGNGCCCCCUGGACGAAGACUGACGCUCAGGUGCGAAAGCGUGGGGCAGCAAACAGGAUUAGAUA
rnacentral:rRNA from 1 species